rnacentral:rRNA from 1 species
GGUUAAGUUAGAAAGGGCGCACGGUGGAUGCCUUGGCACUAGGAGCCGAUGAAGGACGGGACGAACACCGAUAUGCUUCGGGGAGCUGUAAGCAAGCUUUGAUCCGGAGAUUUCCGAAUGGGGAAACCCACCACUCGUAAUGGAGUGGUAUCCAUAUCUGAAUUCAUAGGAUAUGAGAAGGCAGACCCGGGGAACUGAAACAUCUAAGUACCCGGAGGAAGAGAAAGCAAAUGCGAUUCCCUGAGUAGCGGCGAGCGAAACGGGAUUAGCCCAAACCAAGAGGCUUGCCUCUUGGGGUUGUAGGACACUCUGUACGGAGUUACAAAAGAACGAGGUAGAUGAAGAGGUCUGGAAAGGCCCGCCAUAGGAGGUAACAGCCCUGUAGUCAAAACUUCGUUCUCUCCUGAGUGGAUCCUGAGUACGGCGGAACACGUGAAAUUCCGUCGGAAUCCGGGAGGACCAUCUCCCAAGGCUAAAUACUCCCUAGUGACCGAUAGUGAACCAGUACCGUGAGGGAAAGGUGAAAAGCACCCCGGAAGGGGAGUGAAAGAGAUCCUGAAACCGUGUGCCUACAAGUAGUCAGAGCCCGUUAACGGGUGAUGGCGUGCCUUUUGUAGAAUGAACCGGCGAGUUACGAUCCCGUGCAAGGUUAAGCAGAAGAUGCGGAGCCGCAGCGAAAGCGAGUCUGAAUAGGGCGCAUGAGUACGUGGUCGUAGACCCGAAACCAGGUGAUCUACCCAUGUCCAGGGUGAAGUUCAGGUAACACUGAAUGGAGGCCCGAACCCACGCACGUUGAAAAGUGCGGGGAUGAGGUGUGGGUAGGGGUGAAAUGCCAAUCGAACCUGGAGAUAGCUGGUUCUCUCCGAAAUAGCUUUAGGGCUAGCCUCAAGGUAAGAGUCUUGGAGGUAGAGCACUGAUUGGACUAGGGGCCCCUACCGGGUUACCGAAUUCAGUCAAACUCCGAAUGCCAAUGACUUAUCCUUGGGAGUCAGACUGCGAGUGAUAAGAUCCGUAGUCGAAAGGGAAACAGCCCAGACCGCCAGCUAAGGUCCCAAAGUAUACGUUAAGUGGAAAAGGAUGUGGAGUUGCUUAGACAACCAGGAUGUUGGCUUAGAAGCAGCCACCAUUUAAAGAGUGCGUAAUAGCUCACUGGUCGAGUGACUCUGCGCCGAAAAUGUACCGGGGCUAAACGUAUCACCGAAGCUGCGGACUGUUCUUCGAACAGUGGUAGGAGAGCGUUCUAAGGGCUGUGAAGCCAGACCGGAAGGACUGGUGGAGCGCUUAGAAGUGAGAAUGCCGGUAUGAGUAGCGAAAGAGGGGUGAGAAUCCCCUCCACCGAAUGCCUAAGGUUUCCUGAGGAAGGCUCGUCCGCUCAGGGUUAGUCGGGACCUAAGCCGAGGCCGAAAGGCGUAGGCGAUGGACAACAGGUUGAUAUUCCUGUACCACCUCCUCACCAUUUGAG